GAGCCGGUAGCUCAGCUGGCAGAGCAACGGACUUUUAAUCCGUGGGUCGAGGGUUCGAAUCCCUCCCGGCUCA
rnacentral:tRNA from 2 species